ensembl:snRNA U1 U1 spliceosomal RNA
AUACUUACCUGGCAGGGGAGAUACCAUGAUCACGAAGGUGGUUCUCCCAGGGCGAGGCUCAUCCAUUGCACUCCGGGUGUGCUGACCCCUGCGAUUUCCCCAAAUGCGGGAAACUCGACUGCAUAAUUUCUGGUAGUGGGGGACUGCGUUCGCGCUUUCCCCUG